GUGUUGGAAGAACUGUUUCUUCACUCACUAGAGCUGUUGGUGCAGCAGAAAAACUUUCAACUCCUCAUCUAAAUAUUCACGAAGUGAAGAAGCCACAUUUGUACCAAUCCGAAUCAGGUCCUGCUUGCUGGUCUCCUCCCUGAAAUGUCC